UGAGAAACCCUUUCGGUAUGCCAAGACGUUGUGCAAAGCCAUGAAGCAUUGCCAUAAAUUAAUUCUCAUCACCCCUGCUGUCCAAAUCGAAUAUGCCUCUCUGUUCCCCCCCCUCCUCUUCGCUGAUCUCUUUCUCUCUCGAGCCGGGUCCCCCUCCACCGACGAACUUGCCUCUCCGCCUCAUCCUCAUCCUCUCCAGACUCCCAUCUUCUUUGAUUCCACCUCUCCUCUAACGAUCUUGCCUCUGGGUUUCUUCUCUUCUUCUUCCGAGUAUCAAUCAGCUACUCCACCAUCAUCGAAAUUUUUUGAGAUAAUGAUGCAGAUGAUGAUGAUGAUGAUGAUGAUGAUGAUGAUGAUAGUUUUAUUGAAGAUGAUGUCUGCCAACAAGUGGAACAAAAACAAAAUUUUCAAUUUGGCCAAAUCAUGAACAAUGUGUUGGAAAAUAUGUCCCAAAGCUAAUCGUCAGUCUGUUGACGGUUGUGCUAAUUGAUGAAUUAAUUAAUAAAAUAUUUAUUUGAUAAUUUUUAUCAUAAGUUUGUACAUCUUCUAUAUCAAACUUCUGUAUUGUGAUAAAAGUCCUUAAGACUAUUUUAAAUCAAUAAAGGAAGAUUUAUCAUUUAAUCCUUAAA